rnacentral:rRNA from 1 species
UACGUAGGGGGCAAGCGUUGUCCGGAUUUAUUGGGCGUAAAGAGCGUGUAGGCGGCCAGGUAGGUCGGUUGUGAAAACUGGAGGCUCAACCUCCAGACGUCGACCGAAACCAUCUGGCUAGAGUCCGGAAGAGGAGAGUGGAAUUCCUGGUGUAGCGGUGAAAUGCGCAGAUAUCGGGAAGAACACCCGUGGCGAAAGCGGCUCUCUGGGACGGUACUGACGCUGAGACGCGAAAGCGUGGGGAGCGAACAGG